AAAAGCAUUAUGGUGAUGCGCCUCGCUUACAUUGAGGAGAUAGCUUUUCUAUUGGCUUUUUUUGA
rnacentral:tRNA from 1 species